CUGAUAGGUGAACCUGCGGUAGGAUCAUU
rnacentral:rRNA from 1 species